AGGUAGACCAUCAAAAUAGCACCACCAACGAAGCACCGGCUGAUUCUAAGGAUUUGGAACAGCUCUUAAAAGACUCGGAGCAGUCUAGCCCAAGUGUGAAAAAUGAUGUGAAGUUUUCUGUUCGGGUUUCAUUUUUUGAGAUUUACAAUGAAUGUUUUUAUGAUCUCCUGAUUCCUGUAUCAAAUGACAAGAAAAGAAGUACGCUACGCCUUGCUCAAGACAUCAAGGGAUGUUCGUAUGUAAAAGGUCUGCAGUGGGUACAGAUUUCUGAUUCUAAAGAAGCUUUUUGACUUCUAAAACUGGGGUUGAAACAGCAGAGUAUUGCAAGCACGAAACUAAAUGCUAACUCCAGCAGGAGUCACAGCAUAUUCACAGUUAAAGUAUUGAAAAUUGGAGAUUCAGGAGCACCGCAAGUGAUUGGAGUCAAUGAAUUGUCACUGUGUGAUCUUGCUGGUUCAGAAAGAUGUACCAAGACCCGUAAUGAAGGGGAUAGAUUGAAAGAGAGUAGAAAUAUAAACACCUCCCUCCUGAUUCUAGGCAAGUGUAUUAACUCACUCAAGAACUGUCAACAGUCAAAGUUACAGCAGCACAUACCCUUUCGGGAAAGUAAGUUAACUCACUGCUUCCAAGGAUUCUUCAGUGGAAAGGGGAAGAUCUGUAUGAAAGUAAAUAUAAGCCAGUGUGCAUCAGCAUAUGAUGAAACACUCAAUGUGCUAAAGUUCUCAGCCAGUGCACA